UGAUUAAUUGCGGCCCAUUAACGCAGCUGGUUUCACGCUUCUUUUCUCAGACCGCAGCUGCAGCGAAUCUCUUCAGUCCUGCCUGCGAAGCUCAGUCAACGCGGCGGCAGCGCGAUACUUCCUACAAGUCCGUUUUCAGCGAAAAGGAAAGUCUAAUGAACCUGUCCAAAUCCCAGUGCGUCUUUAUGAGCUGCCUGCUCUUGGUGUGGAUACCCUUUGCAACGGGUGCAUUGGAAAGUAUGUCAACUCCAAUUUCGUCAUUGCAAAGAACGCGGAGGACAAAGGGCAGCGCCGGCUUCGAUACUCCGUUGUGCAAGUUGACAGGAGAACCGUGCAUCGUAAACGAUGAUUGCUGUUAUCGAAGGGUCUGUCGGUUCCACAAGUGCGCCCAUCACUUCGCGUUGCCGAUGCCCACGUGACUUGAGAACGGCGAUACCAGGCCGGAUCUCCACGACACAAAGCAGGCUCGACUGACGACUCGCUUCAUGCGAAACUACAAUUUUCCUGGCGUCCAAUGCAAAUCGGCAACAGCAUGCGCGUUCCAAUAAAUCAAAUUGAUCUCUC